UACGUAGGGGGCAAGCGUUGUCCGGAAUUAUUGGGCGUAAAGCGCGCGCAGGCGGCUUCGUAAGCCCAGUGUUUAAGCUCGGAGCUCAACUCCGAUACGCACUGGGAACUGCGAGGCUUGAGUGCAGAAGAGGAAAGUGGAAUUCCACGUGUAGCGGUGAAAUGCGUAGAGAUGUGGAGGAACACCAAUAGCGAAGGCAGCUCGCUGGGACGUUACUGACACUGAGGCGCGAAAGCGUGGGGAGCGAACAGG
rnacentral:rRNA from 1 species